rnacentral:rRNA from 1 species
AUUGAACGCUGGCGGCAGGCUUAACACAUGCAAGUCGAGCGGGGUGAUGGUGCUUGCACUAUCACUUAGCGGCGGACGGGUGAGUCAUGCUUAGGAAUCUGCCUAUUAGUGGGGGACAACAUCUCGAAAGGGGUGCUGAUACCGCAUACGUCCUACGGGAGAAAGCAGGGGAUCACUCGUGACCUUGCGCUAAUAGAUGAGCAAAAGCCGGAUUAGCUAGUUGGUGGGGUAAAGGCCUACCAAGGCGACGAUCUGUAGCGGGUCUGAGAGGAUGAUCCGCCACACUGGGACUGAGACACGGCCCAGACUCCUACGGGAGGCAGCAGUGGGGAAUAUUGGACAAUGGGGGGAACCCUGAUCCAGCCAUGCCGCGUGUGUGAAGAAGGCCUUAUGGUUGUAAAGCACUUUAAGCGAGGAGGAGGCUCUUUUGGUUAAUACCCAAGAUGAGUGGACGUUACUCGCAGAAUAAGCACCGGUUAACUCUGUGCCAGCCGCCGCCGUAA